rnacentral:pre_miRNA from 1 species
AAAAAGACAAACCCUAGGUUUCCGUGCCAACGUUUGACCGUCCGUCUUAUAUGAAUUUUUUUUAUAAUUAGUAUUUUCAUUGUUGUUAGAUGAUAAAACAUGAUUAAUACUUUAUGCGUGACUUAUCUUUUUAUUUUUUUCAUAAUUUUUUCAAAUAAGAUGGACGGUCAAACGUUGGACACGAAAACCAGGGUUUGUCUUUUU